UUCGAUCUCAAACAGAAUCGCUGGAUCUUGAAAUCUUUCUUAGUGAGCCAUAUUCGAUAAAAGCAAAGAGCCAUGAGAACCAAGUGAGAAAUAACCACCACCAGAGUGUCUGUGGCACAAGGUGUAUAGGCGCCAAAGGCAUUUUCCACUGCCCUUGUCCAGAGUCCAUUAGCCACUGGCCGGCAAUACCAAACCAAAGGCUCAAAGGCCAUCUUUUUAUCACUUUCCGACCACUAUUC
rnacentral:misc_RNA from 1 species